rnacentral:rRNA from 1 species
GACGAAGGAUGCAAGCGUUAUCCGGAUUCAUUGGGUUUAAAGGGUGCGUAGGCGGACUUGUAAGUCAGUGGUGAAAUCUCUCAGCUUAACUGAGAAACUGCCAUUGAUACUGCAGGUCUAGAGUAUAGAUGACGUUGGCGGAAUAUGACAUGUAGUGGUGAAAUGCUUAGAUAUGACAUAGAACACCGAUUGCGAAGGCAGCUCACUACACGAAUAUUGACGCUGAGGCACGAAAGCGUGGGGAUCAAACAGG